rnacentral:rRNA from 1 species
GAACGCUGGCGGCAUGCCUUACACAGUGCAAGUCGAACGGCAGCACGGGAGCAAUCCUGGUGGCGAGUGGCGAACGGGUGAGUAAUAUAUCGGAACGUGCCCAGUCGUGGGGGAUAACGUAGACGAAAGUUACGCUAAUACCGCAUACGAUCUAAGGAUGAAAGCGGGGGAUCGCAAGACCUCGCGCGAUUGGAGCGGCCGAUAUCAGAUUAGGUAGUUGGUGGGGUAAAGGCUCACCAAGCCAACGAUCUGUAGCUGGUCUGAGAGGACGACCAGCCACACUGGAACUGAGACACGGUCCAGACUCCUACGGGAGGCAGCAGUGGGGAAUUUUGGACAAUGGACGCAAGUCUGAUCCAGCCAUUCCGCGUGCAGGAUGAAGGCCCUCGGGUUGUAAACUGCUUUUGUACGGAACGAAAAGGUUUCUAUUAAUACUAGGAGCUCAUGACGGUACCGUAAGAAUAAGCACCGGCUAACUACGUG